GACGAACGCUGGCGGCGUGCUUAACACAUGCAAGUCGAACGGAAAGGCCCUGCUUUUGUGGGGUGCUCGAGUGGCGAACGGGUGAGUAACACGUGAGUAACCUGCCCUUGACUUUGGGAUAACUUCAGGAAACUGGGGCUAAUACCGGAUAGGAGCUCCUGCUGCAUGGUGGGGGUUGGAAAGUUUCGGCGGUUGGGGAUGGACUCGCGGCUUAUCAGCUUGUUGGUGGGGUAGUGGCUUACCAAGGCUUUGACGGGUAGCCGGCCUGAGAGGGUGACCGGGCACAUUGGGACGGGGGUACGGCCCAGACUCCCUAGGGGGGGAGGAGGGGGGGAUAUUGCAAAAUGGGGGGAAACCCGAUGCAGGAAAGGCGGGGGGGGGGAGAAGGGCUUCGGGGUGGAAACCCCUUUUCCCUGGGAAGAAGGGGGAGGGACGGUAAUGGGUAAAGGAACACCGGCUAACUACGUG
rnacentral:rRNA from 1 species